GCUGGAAGUUCAACAGUUCUGGCAUACAAAUACAGCUUCCAUUUCGAUCAAAAGGUUUGAUUUUUCUGGGAAAGCAUAUUUGCCUCAAUUGUCUAGAUUAUUCUGAAAUUUAUCUGUGUAGUCUGUUGAUAACUUAUAAGACUAACUUUUUACUGUCUACUAGAACACUAAAUCAAAGCUGCACCUGUUUUAAGAGUACAGUGUGGUGUGAAACAGACAUUCACUCAUGUGGGACAGCACUAUAACUGAGAUAUUAGUCUCAUAGUAACACACACACACACUGAGGAAGGUCACGGCGUGACAAAAAAGGUUUACUACAGAGCUAUAAAGUUUGAAAAACAAUGAAAAUAUCACUAAUUGCCGCUGCAUUGUUACUGGUGGCGCAUUUGGUGGAAGCCACCAGUGAGAGAUCGGAAAACGAAGUUAAUUCUGUCCAGAAACGGUCUUCACUCAUGAAAGGUCUUGCUCGCGAAAGAGCAUGCGGCUCCACUACCUGCAAGGUGUCGGGCUGUAAGUCCGGGGGUGGCUGGUGGUUUGUGUCGUAUUCUGCGGGCUGGAACAUACGGGGCUCUGACCGCGGUUGCUGUGGCAACUACAGUGGCUGCUGCAGGCAUGCUUCUGACUUGUGCUACAUACACGACUACACGUGUCGCUGUUGUAUACCUAGCUUGUAUUGUGGACCCCAGUGCAAGAAAAAUCCUGGCUGUUGACACCUUUUCAUAAAUACCAUUACUCAAACAAACUUGCAUUUACCAGGCCUGUUUUUUAAAGGCCCUUUGACAUUGCUGACAUUGAAAACGGUUCCUAUACAAAAAUUUGAAAUUGUAGUAGAUUUUUCAUUAUGGUAUAAGAUUUGUAGAAUGUACCUCCGGCAGACGAUGAGCUGUCAGUAAAUGAAAUCUCUUAGCAAAAUGAAAAGUUUGCAGCAAUACUGCUGCAAACUAAAAAAUUGCGGCAACGAGUUUGCAAGAAAAAAAAUGUUAUUGCUUAUUUGCAGCCAUAUUGCAACAUAGUUGCUGGAAAAUUGCAAGAAGGAAUUGCUGGUUGAAGCAAUUUUGCUGCAAGUUUGCAAAGGGAUGUGAUUCCAUGAAUGUUCAUAAUCGGCCACGAGAUUGUAAAAGAACACUAAAUUAAACCAUUAACAGUUUCAGCGUCCAGAAUGGUCGUUAUAUAUGCGUAACAGAAAU